rnacentral:rRNA from 1 species
AUGUGUGUCCCAAAAAAUCAAGUAGGCAUGGGUUUUACAUAUAUUCAUUGCUUUAAUUUAGCCUUGUUGGCCAAACCGACAUGGAGGCUUAUUAAUAAUCCAGAUUCCCUGUGUCCACGUAUUUUGGAAGCAAAGUAUUUUCUGGAUGGUGAAUUAUUAAAUUGCAAGCUGAAUAACCCUUUAUAUACCUGGCAAAGCAUAAUGCAAGGUGUUAAAACUUUGAGACAUUUAGAAGCAUUAUAA